AUUAUAAUUAAAUAUUUUUGUUUAUUCAGUAUCGACCAAAUCAGUGGGGUUGGGAAAAAGGAGAAGCUCGCUCUACAGCUGCUACCAUUCAUAUGUAAAAAGAAACAAGUAAUGACAUCAUACAAAUAACUGACAACAAAACGUGUUAGGAGUUUGCUGGUUGAAGCUAUAAAUAUGGAAUAUUAAAUUGAUAGGUAGUAUAAAAAGCAUCCAUCAUGGUGAUUUUUGAAAAUAACCAAGGUUUUAGUGAAAAUAUGAACCAUAAAUAUUUAUAUUUUAUUUUGCAUAAUGCAGCUAAUGUUAUUUUCUUACUUCAAUAAAUUAACCUAUUGUUACUUAAAA